rnacentral:rRNA from 1 species
AUUGAACGCUGGCGGCAGGCCUAACACAUGCAAGUCGAGCGAGUGGCGGACGGGUGAGUAAUGUCUGGGAAACUGCCUGAUGGAGGGGGAUAACUACUGGAAACGGUAGCUAAUACCGCAUACCAUCAGAUGUGCCCAGGUGGGAUUAGCUAGUGGGUAGGGUAACGGCUAACCUAGGCGACAAUGCCUAGCUGGUCUGAGAGGAUGACCAGCCACAUUGGAACUGAGACACGGCCCAGACUCCUACGGGAGGCAGCAGUGGGGAAUAUUGCACAAUGGGCGAAAGUCUGAUGCAGCCAGGCCGCGUGUGUGAAGAAGGCCUUCGGGUUGUAAAGCACUUUCAGCGGGGAGGCGUUACCCGCAGAAGAAGCACCGGCUAACUCCGUGCCAGCCGCCGCGGUAAUAC